GUAUUGAUUGCAUGUGACUGCAAAAGAAAAACAUUCUACACUGUAUCAAGUUUUGUGUGAAAACGCAAGCCCUCCUGCAAAGGGGGGCCCACGCGGUGAUGCACAAAAGGGGUGAGAUGGAUUGUGUGAGAGUGCUCGGGCGUGCACAACCUUUAAAAGGUCAGCGACAGCCCUUGCACCUCGGUUAUACAAUAAUGAUCCUUCCGCAGGUUCACCUACGGAAA
rnacentral:misc_RNA from 1 species